UACGGGGGGGGGCAAGCGUUUGUUCGGAAUUACUGGGCGUAAAGGGCGCGUAGGCGGCUAGAUAGGUCCGUUGUGAAAACUGGAGGCUCAACCUCCAGCUGUCGAUGGAAACCAUCUAGCUAGAGUCCGGAAGAGGAGAGUGGAAUUCCUGGUGUAGCGGUGAAAUGCGCAGAUAUCAGGAGGAACACCGGUGGCGAAGGCGGGUCUCUGGGCCGUAACUGACGCUGAGGAGCGAAAGCGUGGGGAGCGAACAGG
rnacentral:rRNA from 1 species